CUGCAGCUCGAGUGGUGAUCAUUAUUAUUGGGCCUAAAACGUUCGUAGCCUGUCUUAUAAAUGCCUGGGUAAAUCGUGCCGCUUAACGGUACGAAUUCCGGGUAGACUGUAAGACUUGAGACCGGGUGAGGCUAGAGGUACUCCUGGGGUAGAGGUGAAAUUCUGUAAUCCUAGGGGGACCACCAGUGGCGAAGGCGUCUAGCUAGAACGGGUCUGACGGUGAGGGACGAAGCCCUGGGGCACAAACCGGAUUAGAUACCCGAGUAGUCC
rnacentral:rRNA from 1 species